AUUGAACGCUGGCGGCAUGCUUUACACAUGCAAGUCGAACGGUAACAGGCCUUCGGGUGCUGACGAGUGGCGAACGGGUGCGUAAUGCAUCGGAACGUACCCAGAGGUGGGGGAUAACGCAGCGAAAGCUGUGCUAAUACCGCAUGUGAUCUGAGGAUGAAAGCGGGGGACCGAGCAGCAAUGUUUGGCCUCGCGCCUUUGGAGCGGCCGAUGUCGGAUUAGCUAGUUGGUGGGGUAAAGGCCUACCAAGGCGACGAUCCGUAGCUGGUCUGAGAGGACGACCAGCCACACUGGGACUGAGACACGGCCCAGACUCCUACGGGAGGCAGCAGUGGGGAAUUUUGGACAAUGGGCGCAAGCCUGAUCCAGCAAUGCCGCGUGCGGGAAGAAGGCCUUCGGGUUGUAAACCGCUUUUGGCAGGAACGAAACGGUGUCCGCUAAUACCGGGCGCUAAUGACGGUACCUGCAGAAUAAGCACCGGCUAACUACGUG
rnacentral:rRNA from 1 species